rnacentral:rRNA from 1 species
UGGGGAAUAUUGCACAAUGGAGGCAACUCUGAUGCAGCGACGCCGCGUGAACGAAGAAGGCUUUCGAGUCGUAAAGUUCUUUUAUAUGGGAAGAUAAUGACGGUACCAUAAGAAGAAGCCCCGGCUAACUACGUGCCAGCAGCCGCGGUAAUACGUAGGGGGCUAGCGUUGUCCGGAAUCACUGGGCGUAAAGGGUUCGCAGGCGGAAAUGCAAGUCAGGUGUAAAAGGCAGUAGCUUAACUACUGUAAGCAUUUGAAACUGCAUAUCUUGAGAAGAGUAGAGGUAAGUGGAAUUUUUAGUGUAGCGGUGAAAUGCGUAGAUAUUAAAAAGAAUACCGGUGGCGAAGGCGACUUACUGGGCUCAUUCUGACGCUGAGGAACGAAAGCGUGGGUAGCAAACAGG